GUGCUCAAUAAGACACGUCACUGCACUGAGAACAACCCCUGCGAAGCAUGUCUUUCUUACUAUCGUUGUUACACUAAGCUAGGAUGAAGUUUAAUGCCAAAAAUGGUGCUGCCAGCUUUAAUGCAGUUGAUGUCAGCCAUGGCUCUGGUUUUGUGUAGUCAAUAUUAUCCUAUGACAAAAAAGGUCUUCUGGAAAAAGUAUGGUGGGCCGUCUCAACCGAGAAGUAAAAAAUCUGGGCUUCCCCUGAUAAGGAAGGUUUGUUGUUGCCAACUGACUCUGAGACCUGGAGAUGCACUCAAGCUCUGGAACUUGUAAGUUCUCUGGAACAUAAGCACGAGGAAGCAUUUUUCAACCAAGUAGCAGUGUUGCCGCAAGCUAGCCUUAUUUUGCUUGUGAAUGCCAAAAAGAACGCUAUAUAUGCUGUCCAUGUUGAGUAUGGCCCAGAUCCUGCCUCUACUCGGUUGGACUAUAUAGCAGAUUUCACAGUUGCAGUGCCUAUUAUAAGUCUGAUGGGAACAUACGGAAGCCAACCAGAUGGUGAAAGUAGUGCAGGUCUAUUGUGUCCAGACAGCUGUUGAGCAGUAUGUUCUGGAGGUAUCACCCUGUUUGCCUCCUACAGCUGAUAAUACUGGUCUUUGGUAGGGAUCC